UACGAAGGGUGCAAGCGUUACUCGGAAUUACUGGGCGUAAAGCGUGCGUAGGUGGUUCGUUAAGUCUGAUGUGAAAGCCCUGGGCUCAACCUGGGAAUGGCAUUGGAUACUGGCGACCUAGAGUGCGGUAGAGGGGUGUGGAAUUCCCGGUGUAGAGGUGAAAUUCGUAGAUAUCGGGAGGAACACCAGUGGCGAAGGCGGCGACCUGGGCCAAUAUUGACGCUGAGGUGCGAAAGCGUGGGGAGCAAACAGG
rnacentral:rRNA from 1 species